UCUCGCAUUCGUCGCGCUGGUGAGCGGACGUCGAAAAUCCGACAUAAGAUUCAAUUUUAAAAUUCUAGUGUAAACAUUCUAUGUUUUUUCCUUAAGCCCAAAAUUAAUAGUGCAAUUUAAAUUUUUUUGUGAAACAAAAUCGUCUCUGGAGUCGUCUUCGUUGUCGUUGUCGUCGUGUGUGUGUGUUAAGUUUAUCCAAUAUUUCGCAAUGUGUGCAAUAAAGUGAAACAAUUUACAUAGAUGAACAAUUCACAAUCUCCGAUUCAUCUUUUGUAAUCCGUUAAAAGAAAAAAAAUAUAUAUAUACAAAAUCUGCAACAUUUUAUAUAAAGGAAGAGAAGAAAAAAUUCGCUGCCGCAGCGAAGGAAUUUUCGCUUUGCAGAAAACAAAAAAAAGAAGAAAAUAGGAGGAAAAUAUACACAGUGCCAUAUACGUCACAGAAUAUAGUGCGAGAGAGUGUGAGUGAGACGGCCUGAUUGCCUGCACCCCCGGAAAUGUAACGCACUCACACACACACGCACACACACACAGAGAGACACACGCUCACGAGAAAAACUUGCACCUGAAAGUUUUGUCGUCGUCGUCGUUCGUGGUUCGUGGCCUGUGCCUUCGUGUGUUCUUUGCUCGUGCGUCGUUGCAACAAAUCUGCCGAGUGGCCAAAGCAAAAUACUCAAAGUACAAAAGGCUAAGGCAAAUCAACGCCCGCCGUCGUCGACGCAGCUCAUCAAGUGCAGCCGUAUAAAUUUUAUAUAUAUCCAUAUUCUUCGGUGCGGGCACCAAAAUGGACUCGCUUAAAUUACCAAAAGGCGGCAGCGCUAAUAGCAGUGCCAGCGGCAGCAAUAGCAAUCUAUCUGGAUCGGCGGCCACAUCCGUUGUUGGCAGCCUGGCAACAUCACCCACAUCGUCUUCUGUGCCGCCUACUGUUGCUUCUGUCUCUACAACAAACACCAUUAAAACGCCGCCCGGCUUGAGCAGCAGUACACCAAUCUCGGUGCGUUUCAAUGCCAACGAGGAGUCGCUGGAUGACAUCCUGCAAUCGUUCCAUCAAAACACACAGCACAGCCACAGCCACAGUCCCAGUGGCGGAGGCGGGGGCGGCGGUGAUGCCUCGCCCACAAUGUUGGGCAUGAAGAACAAUGGCAGCGUGGGUGCCGCCUUGGGCAUGAUGGUCAAUGCCUGUGACACCCACUCCCUCUCCAGCAGUCCGUCACAGCAACAGCAGCAGCAACACCAGCAACAGCAGCAACAUCUUCAACAGCAACAGCAGGCGUCGCUUUUUGGUAACGAGGAGGUUAAUCUGCGCAACAACUUUCUGCAGGGUGGAGGAGGAGGAGGCGGCAGCGGAGGCUUCUUCAAUCGCAAAAGGUCGGGCAGCAUUGAAGGAGUUUCCCCGACGACCAGUGGUCCCAAUCUGAUAGCAGCCCUCUCAAGCAGCGCGACAGCUGCUCCUUCUGCCGGAGCAGGUGGUGCUGGUGCAGUUGACAGCGUUAAUGCACCCGUGGGCACCUGGAAGCUGAUCAAGGGCAAAGUCUCGCAGACCAUUGAAGAGAUAAAAUCAUCCAAGCAUCAUACGCAGCAGCCGACGGCCGUCAUACCCAUAAUUGUGGCCAACGAGCCAACGACUUGUGCGACAGUCGGGUGGACCAACGACCCGGAUUCGGAAACUGAGGGCAUCACGAUCAAUGCGAACACACAAAGCGAGGAGCAGCAACAGCAACAGCAGCACAACUCCGACUCGGAUCCAGAAAUUGAGUUGGUCGAUAGUAUUAGUCUGGGUAGCGCUGAAGCUGGACCUGCAGCGGCCAUCCCAACGGAGGGCUCCCGGCUACGUCGCGGUAUCGCACACAUUAAGUCCAAGGUCAAGGCCAAGCAGCAAGCGUCUGCCAUGACGAAGAAGGAUCUGAUCAGCAAUCCAAGCAGCACUACGACAUCCUCUCUGCGCAGCAAUUUCCUGCGCCGGCGUAACAAUGCCGACCUGAAUACCGAAGCGUCCACCAGUGCCCAGGCGGAGGUGAGCCAGUUGCGUGAGAGCGCAUCUGCACCAGAGAUACCCAUCGAGAGUGGCAAGUCGAAGCGUGGCAUUCUGCUCGCCCGCAAGGAUGUGGAGAUUGAGUCCGGUGUCGAGGUGCUCGAGGAUAUGAUACCAUCAGCGUCGGCACAAACUCUGUCCUCCGAUCAGAAGUCGGGUGAAGUUCAGUUCAAUGAUGUUGACACGGUAAAAAGGCGUAGCACACUGGAUCUGACCCUGAGACCGAACACAUCCUCGCAGGUGCCCGCCCGGCCAUUCGCCGAUGCACCGCCCAAUGAUGCUUCAGUGAAGAGCAAAAUGACUGAUUCCCUCAUCUCAAUCUGGACGACAUUGAGCAGCCCCAGCAACUUGAACUGGCGUUCCCGGCCUGCUGUACAGCCUUUGCUCCUUGGAGCGUGUGUAUUUGUGAUGAUUGUGUUACCGUUCCCCGACUUUGUGCGGGGCGUCCUGUCCACCAUUCUGUUCAUCAUAAUUAUGAACUACUGCAGUUCGUAUGUCACUUACAUUCUGGAGAGAUUUGUGCUGAAGACACAUCCGGAGCGUAAACCGUUCCUCAUUCCCAACUAUAGCAGCAUGGGCAUCUGUGAGAUACCAUCCGUCGAGGAGCACAAGACCAUUAAGACUUAUUCGGGCUGGCUUAUGGAGCUCGAUAGCUAUGAUCCCAAUACGUUCUCCUUCACCCUGACCAGGGCCAUCUAUGUGCGGCUCGACGGUGCUAUCUUGAAGAUAUCCGGCACAAAUGCUCGCAUACCCAAGCGUCGCAUGUGGAACGAGAAGCCCAUCGACCGUGCCAAGGUUCUCUUCACCGAUCAUCGUUCGUAUGAUUUGCGUGACGCUCGCAUUGAGCUGCUGCCCGUGGGAUUGGCCAAGAAGCGCUUCUUCAAUCGCAAGUAUCCCAUACAGCUGAUCGUCAAGAACUGUGGCUUCUAUACACCAACCGAUCAACCGGUCCACACGCCAAACACAGGUGACGCAACACCAGCCGCCGGAGAUGAGAAUGAUAAAUCCACAGACUUUGGCACAACUGUCCUAUUUGCAGAUCUACGACAACUGCACAAUACUGUAACGCCCGAUCAGGAUCUGAAGGACAUUACCAUACCAUGUGGAGAUGAAGUGCGUCUGCUGAUCUUUGCGCGCUGCGAUCGGGAAAAGGAAGAUUGGUAUCGUCGCUUUCAGGCAGCCAGCAAAGGCUGCGUCCACGAAUCGGAUUUGCAGGUGCCGAUGGCGCAUUUUGUGGAUGACACCGAUCUGCAAGCGGCUGCCGCACAGCAUGCUAUCAACCUAACAAUGGGCGGCAGCAAUAAGCAGCCACGCAACAAGGAUACCGAAGAUCCGUCAGUGUACUCAUUCCACAAUGAGGAAACCGGUUCGAAUACGCCGGACACGCUUGAGGAAUUGCUGGAGGAGGACACAAUUCCAGAUGCUACAAAGGAUGGCUACGAGGGAUUAAUCAUGAGCGCCGAUGUUGCACGAAAUCCAGCGGAUUAUGUCAAGUUCAUGACAGUCUAUCAGCUUGCAAACAAGGCAAAAUUCCCGUAAGCCGCAAACCACUUAAAGAUGAUCAAAAUCCUGACCACCGUCGCAGAAAAGCUCGCCGUGCCAAGCGUCAGGAGGAUGAGCUGUGGAAGGGCAUUGAUCAGUCGCUGUUUCUGGGCCC
rnacentral:misc_RNA from 1 species